GGGAGGUAGUGACAAUAAAUAACAAUACGGGGUCCUUUAGGGUUUCGUAAUUGGAAUGAGUACAAUUUAAAUCUCUUAACGAGGAACAAUUGGAGGGCAAGUCUGGUGCCAGCAGCCGCGGUAAUUCCAGCUCCAAUAGCGUAUAUUAAAGUUGUUGCAGUUAAAAAGCUCGUAGUUGAAUUUCGGGAUUAGUAUGUUGGUCAUGCCUUGGUAUGUACUGAUGUAACUGAUUCCUCCCUUCUGACGAACCGUCAUGCCAUUAAUUUGGUGUGGCGGGAAAUCAGGACUGUUACUUUGAAAAAAUUAGAGUGUUUAAAGCAGGCUCGCGCUUGAAUACAUUAGCAUGGAAUAAUGAAAUAGGACGUUAAUCCUAUUUUGUUGGUUUCUAGGAUCGACGUAAUGAUUAAUAGGGAUAGUUGGG
rnacentral:rRNA from 1 species